CAAUAGCGUAUAUUAAAGUUGUUGCGGUUAAAAAGCUCGUAGUUGGAUUUCUGCCGAGGACGACCGGUCCGCCCUCUGGGUGAGCAUCUGGCUCGGCCUGGGCAUCUUCUUGGAGAACGUAUCUGCACUUGACUGUGUGGUGCGGUAUCCAGGACUUUUACUUUGAGGAAAUUAGAGUGUUUAAAGCAGGCUUUUGCUAUGAAUACAUUAGCAUGGAAUAAUAAUAUAGGACUUUGGUUCUAUUUUGUUGGUUUCUAGGACUAAAGUAAUGAUUGAUAGGGAUAGUUGGGGGUGCUAGUAUUCAGCGGCCAGAGGUGAAAUUCUUGGAUUCGCUGAAGACUAACUUAUGCGAAAGCAUUCACCAAGGAUGUCUUCUUUAAUCAAGAACGAAAGUUGGGGGAUCGAAGACGAUCAGAUACCGU
rnacentral:rRNA from 1 species